GAUGAACGCUAGCUACAGGCUUAACACAUGCAAGUCGAGGGACCGGCGCACGGGUGAGUAACGCGUAUCCAACCUGCCCAUAAGUAGGGUAUAACCAGCAGAAAUGCGGACUAAUCCCCUCUGCUUAUGGGUGGGGGUGCGUCCGAUUGGCUUGUUGGUAAGGUAACGGCUCACCAAGGCUUCGAUCGGUGGGGGGUCUGAGAGGAAGGCACCCGACAUAGUAACUGGGACCCGGUCUUAACUUCUACGGGGGGCAGCGGUGAGUAAGAUGGGUCAAUGGGCGAUGGCCUGAACCAGCCACGUAGCGUGCAGGAGGACUGCCUAGUGGUUGUCAACUGCUUUUAUGCGGGGAUAGGUACCGCCUGAAUAAGGACCGGCUAAUUCCGUGCCAGCAGCCGCGGUAAUUC
rnacentral:rRNA from 1 species